rnacentral:rRNA from 1 species
AACUUUCAACAACGGAUCUCUUGGUUCUCGCAUCGAUGAAGAACGUAGCAAAUUGCGAUAAUUAAUGUGAAUUGCAUAUUCAGUGAAUCAUCGAGUCUUUGAACGCAUCUUGCACUCAUUGGUAUUCCAAUGAGUACGCCUGUUUCAGUA